GGUUACUGGUGCAGCUCCCUGGGUGUGUAUAUUCUGAGUAGUGAUAAAAUGACUCUUCACUGGCUUUUAACCAGAAUCCUGCAUGUGAUUCAAAGACUGAACAAAGCUAUGUGAGCCUCAUCGUCAUCAUGCAGUGGGAAUUCUUUCCGAAGCAGCAAAUGGGAUGUUCCUGAAGUCAGCUUUAAAUAUGGAAAUUUUUGUGCUGGAGCUACAAACUGCACAAAGUUCUGGGUUGGCUGUUAUAAGACGUGGAGAGAGGAGUGCACAGCUGUAAGCUGCACAUUAACUGCCCACUUUUUCCUUCUGCCUCCUCCCCCAUCCUGGACCAUGAGGGUUCUUCUAACACUUCUGCAGAAUUUCCAGAUGUCUGGCUGCCCUGCUGCAACUUCACUCCACUAACCGAGAGGGAAGAAGACAUUCAGAAAUCCCAAACAUUUCUGCAGCAUAAUCAUAAUAAAUCUGACAUAUCAUGAAA